CGGGCACCUGUAGUCCCAGCUACUCGGGAGGCUGAGGCAGGAGAAUGGCGUGAACCCAGGAGGCGGAGCUUGCAAUGAGCUGAGAUUGCACCACUGCACUCCAGCCUGGGCGACCAAGCGAGACUCCAUCUCAAAAAAAAAAAUUAGCUGGGCGUGGUGGCGGGCACCUGUAGUCCCAGCUACUUGGGAGGCUGAGGCAGGAUAAUGGCAUGAACUCAGGAGGCAAAGCUUGCAGUGAGCAGAGAUUGUGCCACUGCACUCUGGCCUGGGCAACAGAGCAAGACUCGGUCUCAAAAAAAAGAAAAAGAGGGUUACAGAUCAUUGCACAUGGAAAAUAUUCCCAGCAGUAACCACUUCCAUUAAUGUGAUCUACAGCUUUUAAAAAGGAGCAUCUCAGAAUAAGAUGGUGGUACAAUUUGCUUAUUGAGAAAGGAAAAAAAAAAACACAUGAGUAUAUUACAAAGGGAAAAGAAGGAAUGUGAUUUCUCAUGAUUGAAAGCUUGAUUUAGAUUGCAUACAGCUUUUGCUACCCAAGACCAAGAGGCUCUGGCAAGACGGUGGUUUUCCGAAUGCCAGACUGAGGUGCCUUAUGAAGGCAGCUGCCGAUGGUUCCAGAUGUAGAGAGAUAGGUGAUGCAGGAGGGAAAGCUGGAUUGGAAAAGGGAGAGUUUUGUAGACGGGCUACGCUCAUUGUGCCUUUGAAAGAGCAGAGCCGGCAGCCUCUAGUCAUCAUUUGGAUAUACAGGACUAGAGCAUGAAUCUGAUGUAGAGCUACAGAAUGAAGAGCAACAGCAGCUGUUUAAAUACCAAGAAAGUGUGUAGAAUGAAAUUGGACAAGCCAAGCAUGGUGGUUUCAUGCCUUUAGUCCUAGCUACUUCGGAGGCUGAGGUGGGGGAAUUACUUGAGCUCAGCAGUUUGAGUUCAGCCUGGGCCAGAUGGUGAGACCCUGUAUCUUAAGAAAAGAAAAAAUAAGACCAGGUGCAGUAUCUCAUGCCUGUAAUCCCAGCACUUUGGGAGGCCAAGUUGAGAUGACUGCUCGAGUGUAGGACUUCAAGACCAGACUGGGCAAUAAAGUGAGACCCAUUUCUACCAAAAAAAAAAUCAAGAAAUUAGCUGGACAUGGUGGCACAUGCCUGUGGCCUCAGUUACAUGGCAUGGCAGGCUGAGGCAGGAAGAUCACUUGAGCCCAGGAGGUGGAGGCUGCAGUGACCCAUAUUCAUGCCACUGCACUCCAGCCUGGGCAACAGAGUGAGACCCUCUCUCAAAAACAGAUAAAGUGGACAGAAAAUAGGUCAGUAAGGACUAAUCAUUUAAGGGACAAGCCCCCAGAAGAGUGGCUACUAGAGUGGGAGGAGGAAAAGCAGAAGGAGAAAGAGUUGAAGAUAGGCGAGGCUGUGGUCCCAGUGCUGAAUUCUGCCAAGCAGUGACUUGAUUCAUGAACACUCACUGGAUGCUGACUCUGUUUCUCUUCUGAGUGCUGGGGUAGAGGAGAGGAGAGGUGGAGCACAGUUCUUGCUUUUAUGAGCUUAUGUUCUAGGAAGUUCAAGUAUUUUUUCAGGUAGUAUGAAAUAGCAGGAAGAGGAAGCAGGCUAAAGGGACACAGAGUGAUUGGGGGCUAUUUUAAGUAGAAUGAUAAGGAAGAGCCUGUCUAGAGAGCUAUUUGAACAGUGACCUGACUGAAGGGACAACAGAAAGCAGUGCUGACAUUACAGGUAGCAGGAUGACUGCCAAGACAGAAACGCAUUUCAUAUGUGUUCGAGGAACAAACAGCAAGGUGACCAGCAUGGGGAGAGUGAAGAAUGAGGGAAACCUUGAAUGAGAAUAAAGCAAUUCCAUCUUGGAUGCUAAUCUGCCAUAUUCUGAUUAAUCCCAGUUCCAAGACUUCAUCUAUGAUUUCUAUUUUAUCUUUUUAAAAAAUAUAUUUUUUAUUUUUUGAGACCGAGUCUCACUCUGUCUCCCAGGUUGGACUGCAGUGGCACAAUCUCAGCUCACUGCAAACUUCACCUCCUGGGCUCAAGCGAUUCUCCUGCCUCAGCUUCCCGAGUAACUGGGAUUACAGGCGCCUGCCACCACGCCUGGCUAAUUUUUGUAUUUUUAGUAGAGACGAGGUUUUACCGUGUUGGCCAGGCUGGUCUGGAACUCCUGACCUCAGGUGAUCCGCCUGCCUUGGCCUCCCAAAGUGCUGGGAUUACAGGUGUGAGCCACCAUGCCCGGCUGUCAAAAUAGGUGUUUUGUUGUUUUUUUUUUUUUUUGAGAUGGAGGUUUGCUUUUGUUGGCCAGGCUGGAGUGCAAUGGCAGGAUCUCGGCUCACAGCAACCUCCACCUCCCGUGUUCAAGCAAUUCUACUGCCUCAGCCUCCUGAGUAGCUGGGAUUACAGGCAUGCACCACCAUGCCCAGCUAAUUUUGUAUUUUAUUUUAGUAUAGAUGGGGUUUCUCCAUGUUGGUCAGGCUGGUCUCCAACUCCUGACCUCAGGUGAUCCACCCACCUUGGCCUCCCAAAGUGCUGGGAUUACAGGUGUGAGCCAUUGCGCCUGGCCUUUUUUUUUUUUUUUUUUUUUUUUUUUUUUUUUUUUUGUGAUGGACUUUUGCUCUUGUUAUCCAGGCUGGAGUGCAAUGGCACGAUCUCAGCUCACUGCAGCCUCUCCUCCCGGGUUCAAGCAAUUCUCUUUCCUCAGCCUCCUGAGUAGCUGGGAUUACAGGCAUGCACCACCAUGCCUGGCUAAUUUUGUAUUUUUAGUAGGUAUGGGGUUUCUCCAUGUUGAUCAAGCUGGUUUUGAACUCCUGACCUCAGGUGAUCCACCCACCUCGGCUUCCCAAAGUGCUAGGAUUACAGGCGUGAGCCACUGUGCCUGGCCUGAAAAAAAAUUUUAAAGUUUGAGAAAAUACAAAAUUUUCAUAGUCUCCAAGUAUUUCUCCUAAGAUCUUUCCCCCUAUGAGGGGGAAAGAUAGUAACUUUACAAUGGAGAAACCCAGCAGAAACCUGAACCAAAUGAACAAGUUCAACAUCAUCAGUAAGAAGAACUAUCAAUGCCAUAACUCUGAUGGAAUGCACUGGGAAGGAUUCCACAUCAUUUUUGUGCUGUAAUUGCCAAAAGUUCGUAACUUCAGUCCAAUCAUGGAAAUACAUCAGACAAUCCCAAAUCGAGGAACAUUUCACAAAUACUGAUCAGUACUGGUUCAAGAUGUCACGGUUAUGAAAGAUAAGGAAAGAUUGAGGAACUGUUAUUGCAGUCCUACAAAAUGGCGAGAGACUAAGAAAUAACUAAAUGCAGCGUGAUCCUGGGUGGAAUUUGGGAACAGAAAAAGGACAUUAGUGGAAAAAGUGGUGAAACUCCAAUAAGGUCUUUUGUUUAGCGAAUAUGUUCAUUUUAAAUCAGUUAAAUUAUUUAAAUAUAUUUAAACAUUAGUUAAAUGUAUUUAAUUAAAUUAAUAAAAUUGGUUAUUUUGUGAAAUAA
rnacentral:lncRNA from 1 species